UUUGUGGUCACCAUGUGAAGUGUGAACACUGGGAGCCGAGGCCACAUGACAGCAGCAUCCGUUCUGAGAAGGAGAGGCUCAGUGGGGGAAAUAACUUAACUACUAAAAUAAACAUGUUUGUGGCUCGUAGCAUUGCAGCAGAUCACAAAGAUCUAAUCCACGAUGUUUCCUACGAUUUUCACGGCCGGAGAAUGGCAACGUGUUCAAGUGACCAAAGUGUCAAGGUUUGGGACAAGAGUGAAAGUGGGGAUUGGCACUGCACUGCCAGCUGGAAGACACACAGCGGGUCAGUAUGGAGGGUGACAUGGGCCCACCCUGAGUUUGGACAGGUGCUGGCCUCAUGCUCCUUUGACCGAACAGCCGCUGUGUGGGAGGAGAUAGUUGGGGAGUCUAAUGACAAACAGAGGGGGCAGAGCCACUGGAUAAAGAGGACGACCCUGGUGGACAGCAGGACGUCGGUGACGGACGUGAAGUUUGCUCCUAAACACAUGGGUCUGAUGCUGACCACGUGCUCAGCAGACGGGGUGGUGAGGGUCUACGAGGCUCCAGACGUGAUGAACCUCAGCCAGUGGUCCCUGCAGCAUGAGAUCUCCUGUAAACUCAGCUGCUCCUGUAUCUCCUGGAACCCCUCCAGUUCUCGCGCCCACCCUCCCAUGAUAGCAGUGGGAAGUGAUGACAGCAACGUGAUGUACGGUGGGAAGGUUCAGAUCUACGAGUACAAUGACAACACUAGGAAAUAUGCGAAAGCCGAGACAUUGAUGACGGUGACUGAUGCGGUGCAUGACAUAGCCUUCUCCCCUAACCUGGGGCGGUCCUUCCACGUGCUCGCCAUAGCAACCAAAGAUGUUCGGAUCUUUAAGUUGGUACCUUUGCGUAAGGAGAGCAGCUCAACAGGCCCUACUAAAUUUGAGGUUCAGAUCGUGGCCCAGUUCGACAACCACAACUCCCAGGUGUGGAGAGUCUCCUGGAACAUCACUAGCACCUUGCUGGCCUCCUCAGGAGACGACGGCUGUGUCCGACUCUGGAAAGCCAACUAUAUGGACAACUGGAAGUGUACAGGCAUCCUGAAGGGAGACGGAAGUCCAGUCAACGGGUCGUCAGGACAACCCGGUGCCAUGAAUACCAUGGUGGGGUCCACUGUCCAGACCUCCCAGAAUGCACUGAACGGCUCUGCUGCAGGAAGGAACGGCCAGAGGAUCCCCUUUAGCCCUCGCCUGCGGAGCCUGACUGCCCUGAAGACACUCCACCAGCCUGCGUACUGUUAACCUAAAGCCCGCUGACCAGCGAGCACCCUGGUGACCAUGCAUGGACCAGGAUGCUUCGGCAAUACUUCUAAUAGGUAUUUCUUCCCCCCUCUGGAUGCCCCCAGGGCAGGGUCCAGGUACGGCCACCUGCUGCCCCCCCCUUCUCUGAUAGAGCACUCUGAUGCCCAGUUCAGCCCCCACAGCCAGCUCCCCCAGUCCCCCAUGGCCAUCCAUGGCCAGCCCCCCCAAUCCCCUCUGUCCCUGCACAGACUGUACUCACACUCUAGAGCCCUCAACACCCUGCCUGAACACGACUGACCCUUUAGAGCCCUCAACACCCUGUCUGAACAUGGCUGACCCUCUAGAGCCCUCAACACCCUGCCUGAACACGGCUGACCCUCUAGAGCCCUCAACACCCUGCCUGAACACGGCUGACCCUCUAGAGCCCUCAACACCCUGCCUGAACACGGCUGACCCUCUAGAGCCCUCAACACCCUGCCUGAACACAGCUGACUGGGAGGAUACUCUUCUUCUUAGUGACUAAUCAGAAGAAGACCUUCCCCUCUCCCAGAACAGUUUGGUUGGUGCAUAAAACCAGUGAAUCUUCAUGAGCAAAAAUGUAAUGAUUUCUUAGCCAUUUUGUUUACGAUAGUCCCUCCAUAUUUAAACAGCCCUAGUGCUGACUGACAGUCUGACAGUCUGCCUCCCUGGCAGUCGGCCCAGAUGUAGUCUCCCAGAGUUGUGAGUGAUGAUUCUCUAGAUAUAUUUGAUCUUGUUUUUUAUUUAAUUAAAAACCAACAUGCUGGUUUACUACGGUGCCUGCGGUUCAAACUCACAUCACUGUGUUGGAAUGUGUCUUUACAAGACCGUGGCUUUGUGGGUGUGGGUGUUAUUUAUGUGGGCGUAAUUCAUGCGGGUGCAAUUCAUGCGGGUGCAAUUCAUGCGGGUGUAAUUCAUGCGGGUGUAAUUCAUGCGGUUGUAAUUCAUGUGGGUGUAAUUCCUGCGGGUGUAAUUCAUGUGGGGGUUAUUCAUGUGGGGGUUAUUAAUGUGGGCGUAAUUCAUGCGGGUGUAAUUAAUGUGGGCGUUAUUAAUGUGGGCGUUAUUCCUGCGUGUGUUUAAUUUCAAGCCUAAUGUUGUUGCAUUAAUGAAAUGGGGGCUAGUCGAUGCAUAUGAGAGAUUUUAAAGAAUAAAUGCGGGUGUAAUUCAUGCGGGUGUUAUUCAUGCGGGUGUUAUUCAUGUGAGUGUUAUUCAUGUGGGUGUUAUUCAUGUGGGUGUUAUUCAUGUGGGCGUUAUUCAUGUGGGCGUUAUUCAUGUGGGUGUUAUUCAUGUGGGCGUUAUUCAUGUGGGUGUUAUUCAUGUGGGUGUUAUUCAUGUGGGUGUUAUUCAUGUGGGUGUUAUUCAUGUGGGCGGUAUUAAUGUGGGUGUUAUUCAUGUGGGCGUUAUUCAUGUGGGUGUAAUUAUUGCGGGCGUAAUUCACGUGGGCGUAAUUCACGUGGGUGUAAUUCAUGCGGGUGUUAUUAAUGUGGGCGUAAUUCCUGUGUGGGUGUAAUUAAUGUGGGUGUAAUUCUUGCGUGUGUUAUUCCUGCGUGUGUUUAAUUUCAAGCCUAAUGUUGUUGCAUUAAUGAAAUGGGGGCUAGUCAAUGCAUAUGAGAGAUUUUAAAGAAUAAAUGCUCAUUUAAAUGUCAAAACUGACUAUACCAUCACCACAGUAACAAUAAAACCCAACGCUGUUAUACAA